UUAACUCAGCCAACUGUUGGAUAUGUUGGUUCAAGCCUGUAGUCGUGCCUGGUAGGUAAAUCCGCCGGGCUUAGAUGAGGGGUGAUAACGAGACUGCUUGCAGUCGAAGUGAGUGAUACCCUGCUUCCAGGAAAAGCCACUAAGCUUCAGCUACACACGACCGUACCGCAAACCGACACUGGUGCGCGAGAUGAGUAUUCUAAGGCGCUUGAGAGAACUCAGGAGAAGGAACUCGGCAAAUUGACACCGUAACUUCGGAAGAAGGUGUGCCUUUAGUAGGUGAAGUCCCUCGCGGAUGGAGCCCAAUGAGGUUGCAAAAAAUCGGUGGCUGCGACUGUUUAAUAAAAACACAGCACUCUGCAAACACGAAAGUGGACGUAUAGGGUGUGACGCCUGCCCGGUGCUGGAAGAUUAAAUGAUGGGGUGCAAGCUCUUGAUUGAAGUCCCAGUAAACGGCGGCCGUAACGAUAACGGUCCUAAGGUAGCGAAAUUCCUUGUCGGGUAAGUUCCGACCUGCACGAAUGGCGUAACGAUGGCCACACUGUCUCCUCCUGAGACUCAGCGAAGUUGAAAUGUUUGUGAUGAUGCAAUCUCCCCGCGGAAAGACGGAAAGACCCCAUGAACCUUUACUGUAGCUUUGUAUUGGACUUUGAACGGAUCUGUGUAGGAUAGGUGGGAGGCUUUGAAGCAGGGUCGCUAGAUCUUGUGGAGCCAACGUUGAAAUACCACCCUGGUGCGUUUGAGGUUCUAACCUAGACCCGUUAUCCGGGUUGGGGACAGUGCAUGGUAGGCAGUUUGACUGGGGCGGUCUCCUCCCAAAGCGUAACGGAGGAGUUCGAAGGUACGCUAGGUACGGUCGGACAUCGUGCUAAUAGUGCAAUGGCAUAAGCGUGCUUAACUGCGAGACUGACAAGUCGAGCAGAUGCGAAAGCAGGACAUAGUGAUCCGGUGGUUCUGUAUGGAAGGGCCAUCGCUCAACGGAUAAAAGGUACUCUGGGGAUAACUGGCUGAUACCGCCCAAGAGUUCAUAUCGACGGCGGUGUUUGGCACCUCGAUGUCGGCUCAUCUCAUCCUGGGGCUGUAGCCGGUCCCAAGGGUAUGGCUGUUCGCCAUUUAAAGAGGUACGUGAGCUGGGUUUAAAACGUCGUGAGACAGUUUGGUCCCUAUCUUCCGUGGGCGCUGCAGAUUUGAAGAAGCCUGCUCCUAGUACGAGAGGACCGGAGUGGACGCACCUCUGGUGUAUCGGUUGUCACGCCAGUGGCAUUGCCGAGUAGCUAUGUGCGGAAGAGAUAACCGCUGAAAGCAUCUAAGCGGGAAACUCGUUCUAAGAUGAGAUCUGCCGGGGCCUUGAGCCCCCUAAAGAGUCGUUCAAGACCAGGACGUUGAUAGGUCAGGUGUGGAAGCGCAGUAAUGCGUUAAGCUAACUGAUACUAAUUGCUCGUGCGGCUUGAUCA
rnacentral:rRNA from 1 species